AUACACUGUGCUCAAGAGUCAUUCCUGUGCGGGUGCAAGGCACAUUUCAUGUUUCUUAACUGUAUUUUUUUUUUCUUUCUUUCUUUCUUUUUUUUUUUUUUUCUUUCCUGUGUGCCUAGCAAAGGACGCUUUUUAUUCAGAAAAAAUUCAGUAAGGAAGGAACUGUCAGCAGCACAGUAACUUUGUUACCAUUUUCUUUCCUGCACUCUAAAUCUGAAAAAUCCAACUGAAAUUAAGUUGUAUGAAAUAAAAUCAAUUACUUCAAAUCAAGGAAAAAAACACUUCAGUUCCACAGAUCUUCUGCUAGCAGCUGCAACUGAGAAGACACCUAAGUUUACUUGGUCCACAUGGAGACUGGGAAAGAUAAGACCUCGAAUGUUAAUAUGAGCAGAAACAAUAGAUGAACAAGGUGCAUAAAAUAACCAACCUUAAAAUAAUAAAAAGAUGCUUCAGCACUGAUUUCAUCAGUUCCUGGUUGCAGGGAACAGCUUGAUGUGCUGGAGCCUGGCAUGCAACAGCUGUGCUGUGUUCUCUGUAGCUUGGCUUACCAGGAGAAAAGGGUUUCUCUAUGUAUUGCAGGUUGUACUCCAGAUACUCACACUCUGGUUUACCUGGGACUCAGCCAGCUUUCACCCUUUGGUAACAUGUCACCAAGGAAGACUCUAGAGAGUACACAGGAGUGAUCUGAAUUAUUUCUAGGGAAUAAAUUAUUCAGGAGAUUUAGCCUUUGUUCCCA
ensembl:lncRNA